GGCCCUGGCGCCAUUUUGAAGCUGGGCUGGACUCUCGGACUCUGGCGUGAGACCUGCUGACUCGUCUGUCACCUGCCUGGACGGGCUUGGAAGAUGACAGAGAGGGAAGAGGGAACCUUCAAAUGGGGCUGGACGUGAACCAGAGCCUCUCCCCUCCUGUGGCCAGUCCUUCCAUGGUGCCUCCAACCCAGCCCUCUAAAUUCCCAACCUCCUUCAGGCCUCAUGCCCAGCACGGACCCCAAUGUGGGGCUUGAACUCGUGACCCCGAGACUGCCAGAGAUAGUUGGUUCCAAGUUCCUGGGGCACAACAGUGAACACAAGAGACAACCAUCCCCACCUUCUAGAAGGACAGCAGAUAGGUACUGAGGACAAACACGCACGAACGGUCCAGGCUGGUCUUCAUUUUGCGAGUGUUGACUUGCUAACCGCAUGCUGCACACAGAGGAAUGACACUGGCCAGUGCCACUCUGAGCACACCCUGUUCUCCGGCCAGGGCUUUCCACGCCGUCCACACAUUGGACUCACCUUGGAGAGUUUCCUAAGGUAUC